rnacentral:rRNA from 1 species
AACGAACGCUGGCGGCAUGCCUAACACAUGCAAGUCGAACGAGACCUUCGGGUCUAGUGGCGCACGGGUGCGUAACGCGUGGGAAUCUGCCCUUGGGUUCGGAAUAACUCGCCGAAAGGCGUGCUAAUACCGGAUGAUGACUUAAGUCCAAAGAUUUAUCGCCCCAGGAUGAGCCCGCGUUGGAUUAGCUAGUUGGUGAGGUAAAGGCUCACCAAGGCGACGAUCCAUAGCUGGUCUGAGAGGAUGAUCAGCCACACUGGGACUGAGACACGGCCCAGACUCCUACGGGAGGCAGCAGUGGGGAAUAUUGGACAAUGGGCGAAAGCCUGAUCCAGCAAUGCCGCGUGAGUGAUGAAGGCCUUAGGGUUGUAAAGCUCUUUUACCCGGGAUGAUAAUGACCGUACCGGGAGAAUAAGCUCCGGCUAACUCCGUG